rnacentral:rRNA from 1 species
UACGGGGGGGGCGAGCGUUGUUCGGAAUUACUGGGCGUAAAGGGUGCGUAGGCGGUUCGUUAAGUCUGUCGUGAAAUCCCCGGGCUCAACCUGGGAAUGGCGAUGGAUACUGGCGAGCUAGAGUGUGUCAGAGGAUGGUGGAAUUCCCGGUGUAGCGGUGAAAUGCGUAGAGAUCGGGAGGAACAUCAGUGGCGAAGGCGGCCAUCUGGAACAACACUGACGCUGAAGCACGAAAGCGUGGGGAGCAAACAGG